rnacentral:rRNA from 1 species
AUACGGAGGAUGCAAGCGUUAUCCGGAUUUAUUGGGUUUAAAGGGUGCGUAGGUGGGCUGUCAAGUCUGUGGUGAAAAGUUCGCGCUCAACGCGGAUCGUGCCAUGGAAACUGGCGGCCUUGAAUAGGGGUGCCGUUGGCGGAAUGUGAAGUGUAGCGGUGAAAUGCAUAGAUAUUACACAGAACUCCGAUUGCGAAAGCAGCUGACGAACCCCCGAUUGACACUGAGGCACGAAAGUGCGGGGAUCGAACAGGAUUAGAUACCCUGGUAGUCCGCACAGUAAACGAUGACAACUGGCUGUCGGCGAUACACCGAUCGGUAGCGAAGCGAAAGCGUUAAGUUGUCCACCUGGGGAGUACGACCGCAAGGUUGAA